AGUGGCUUCAUUAUUCCCCUUGGAAGUGUGGUGGCAGAGUGGUUAUAAUGUCUUCUUUGUCUCUGGAGAUUAUUCAUAUGAGGGAAAAAAUGUAGAUGAAAGCCAGUCAAGGAGGAAACUGGGAAAGAUUCUAAGAGGGAGCUGCUGCAGUGAAGCAGUAAUAGGAAAGUAUGAAAUCAGUGGUCAAAGUCUUAUUGUUGAUUUUGUCCAAAACAAAAGAUAAAACUACAACAUGAAAUAAAAGCAAAAUGAAUAGUG